GAUGUUGUUGGGGGUUUACAAUUUCAUCUUUUCCACUCUCUCUUACAUACUACCCUUGAAUAUUAGUUUGAUUAAUUGUUAUGCGAAUUUCUUAACCUCCCCUUAACCCGAUCCCUCGACGAAAAGGGCUUAAUAUUAACUACUGGCUUGUUAUCCCUAGCCUCCCCUAGUAAUUAAUACCGCAUUAUAAACAGAAGUUAGCGCAAUUGAUCGUCCUACCCCUAUCCCUAGGUGGUAUUGCAAAAUCAAGAGAUUACUCACCAAUUCAUGUCAUUANUGUACGUCCCCAUAUCAAUAAAGACAAACAUAAAUAUACCGAAUGAGUUAAACGAUAAAGGCCUUAAGCACAGAUGAUAACCCAACAAUAANCAAUCAAAACAUAUGGAGACCAUAUAAAUAAUCAAGAGAUUCAAUAAGAGAGAGUAUCAAAAGAUUACAUUGUUUCCCCNAACAACAAUAGGGUUUAGUUCACCAUAGACAUGGUGAAGCUAGAUGAAAAAUGGAAGCAGAAUGGAAAAGCAAACCCUAGAAAAGAUGAAAAGGAGCCUAAGCAUCCAAGAGAUCCUGUCCAGAGAGCAAAAUUAGGUCUGGUCGUUCUCCCUUGUCAAAAGAAUGACUCUGAACUCGCAAUAGGGGUAUAUAUAGGUGAGGAGCGCAUUAGAAAACGGGCCCAAGUCCAGCGAGCCACUGCCGGGCGGUAUAAGUGUGCCGCGCGGCGGUUUGCCACAAAUCGCCCUACCGCCCGGCGGUAAUCGCCACCGCCGCGCGGUUUCCCUCAAGUCCGCCAAGCGUGAAUCGCCAUGCCUUCUCCUCGUCCUGGGCCACCCGGCUGUUUAAGUGUGUCGUCGGGCGGUGCGUCGACUCUUCAAAUCUUCAUUUUUCUGCUCUUUUCUUGAGUCAACGACCUGUAUCUUCAACUUCAUUCUCUACUUUUNUCAAAUUAGCUUCAAAACAAUGCAAAACAAGCAUAAAAUCGCUAAAAACAGCUUUUGACUCUCUUCAGACUCAUUUAUUGAGUUUUGCUUGAUUCUAAGCUCNUUCCGAGAAGUAAAGGGUGUAAUUUGGUCCAAAUUGACAUAUGAAAAUAACUGUUUUUCAACCUUCAUCACCAGCCACAGCACAAAACUGGUGGAAAUAUGUUGCAUCAAUGGUAUUUCUCAGUCUCUCAUAUGGGGGAACUGCAAUGUUCACCCCGGCUUGCUGGCACAGAAAAGUGAUCAAAGAUGGAUGCCCCAAUGGCAUCUUGCUACUAACGUUCAUAGCACAACUCCUAAUCUCAUCGGUAAUGAUUUGACCGACAUUUACCUCCAUCUGUCUCAUCAAGCAGAAGAUAAGACGAACCCUGUGAAUCGUGAUAUCUGAGAUGUGGGAGAACGGUUGGAUGUUGGCAUGCGUGAAUGCCAUCCAGUAUUGGGCUAGAGGUAUCAUAUCCAACCGUCGAAUGUUCACUGGUGCACCGCUAGCGUUAGGUUGAAAGUGUCUACCAGGAAGACACACAACCUCCUCAAUUUCCGCUACAUUAUCAAACACACCAGCAUGUGCCGCAUACUGGCACUGCUCUCCUGGCCACUCUGUUCCCAAGAAGUUGUUAAUACUAUCAGGGUCAUAACUAAUAGUCUGCCCCCUCACAAAGCUCAAAUAUCGCCCAACAACCACUCCUCCUCUAGGCACCGCGUUGGUGUAGAAUUCUUUUACCAAUUCCACACUGGCAGGUGCAGGAUAGGUUGUCAACCUCUCCCAGUCUCUCCUCAAAAUUUCCACUUCAAAUUCAGGAGCCAAAUCAGGUAUGAAGGAAGCCUUCCUCUCCAUUAGCAACCUCCUUUUUUGCACAGUAGCAAAGUGCUUGAUGAGUCAAUAUUUUCUUGACUUUACUUAGUUUAUUGUGCCAGAAUUAAUCAGGGAAUUGUGCUUAAUUUUCCGGUAUUAUCCCGUUUUUCCUAAAUAUGCUUAAUUUGACCGGAAAUUCUAAUUUUAAUUAAUUGGAAUUUUCUGAGCUAAUUAUUUGCAUUAUUAUUUGCAAGGAAAAUUUUGGAGAUAUAUUUUGGGACAUUUGGAGUGCUAUCAAAUAAGUCAAGACUCUUCACACGGACAUUUCAAAUUUAAUUACUUUGAAACUUAGUAGUCUAGAUAGUUUUAAUUAAAUUUGUAAACAAUGGGCCAAUUUUUGGUAAAAUAGUUUAGGCCCAAAAUGUUAGAAUAAAUGACACAUGGCACCUAGGGUUUUGCAAAAGGAGGUGGACCCCACCCUAUUUUUGAGACACUUGGUCCUGGGAGAUCUAAACCAGCCGUCACUUGGAAGGCACAUACUCUCUUGGCUGCAGAUUUUUUAUUUGUGUGGCUGGAACGUUUGGCAGCAACAAUUUUUCUUCUUGAACAUGUUCUUGGUAAUGGGUAUAGGUUGAAUGAAAAGGCUAUUGUCCAAUAUUUUAUUUUUAUUCAUUUUGUGAUAGCAUGGAAGUCUAGGGCCGACACACUCCUUGGGCUGGAGAUUUUCUUUGGAGUUUAUUGUUCAAUCAUGCACCACGUUGCAGCCACCCAACAUGUCUUUUGCCUUGCUUUGAUCUAGCAUACCGUCACAUCAAUUUUCUAAUAUUUACGUUGUCCUUUCAUUUGGGAGUUAUGCAAUUUUGUUGAAUCCAUCUAUUGCUUUUUGGUCUGAAUGAAAAGGAAGAUGAAUUUCAAUUCCAAAACACUAUUAUGUAGCUAAUAGAAUGAAAAGGGUUGUGGGGUGCGGUGAUUGGACAUGCCAAGCUUGGCAGCUAGAUGUUUAGCAUUGCUUUUCUUUUGUCUUAAAAAGAAGUAGUUAGGUUAUUAGAUAGAAGAGUGUGUGAUGUGACGGUGGGGGAAUAUAAAUUGUAGAGCACUUUAUUUUCUUUGUUUGUGUACAUUUCUUGGAGUAUCACGUGGGAAGUUGGCAGCAGUAGGUAUAGGCUAUUUCCUUGUUUUUUUUUCUUUAUUUCUUUAAGAAUGAAGAGUAGAUUAGAUGUGAGUUGAUGGAUGGUGUACGGUGGUGAUUAUGUGUUGAGAGAAGAAUUUCAUCUCAUUUCAAUUAAGUUUAGGUGUGCUCUUGUCUUGGCAAUGUGUUACGGUCAUGGGAUUGAUGAAGGGGAGGCCCACAUUUUGGAAAUUCAUUCACGGCUUGGCAUUGAUCAGCAACCACCACCUACUUUAUUCUUUUGUUGAUUUUCAAAAUUUAGAAGAAUGAAAGCACAUAGCCAAGGUUAGUUUGUCACGGUUUUAUGUUGGAUUACAGGGGCACGGUUUUCAAUCUUCUUUUUCAUUCAAUGUGAUGCUUUUACUUCAAUUGAAAAGUAAGUAGUUGCCAAGUUAUUUUUUUUGGGAAAUAUGUGGUGUCACGGGUUUGAUUUAAGCUGCAGCAGGGAAUUUAAUUUUGACUUUGGAUUUAAUUACUUUACAUUGCUUGGAGAUUCACGUUUUUUUUAUUAGAAAAAAGAAAGAGCUACUUUGUGAAUUCAAUUGGGUGGCGCAUUGUGAAAUUUUGAAAAAAAAGAGGUAGUGUCACGGCUUGAAGCUUGAACCGGUGGUGAAUUUGUUUUGCAAUUUCCAAGCUUUAUUUUAAUAUGUCUUUAAUUUGUUAGCUCAACAUUGCAUUUUUAAUUGCUUUACUUGUGUUUGGACAUUUAUCUAUUGCAUUGUUCAUGUUUAUUUUUUUUUCCUUUAGUUUAUCCGCAUUCACAAUCCUUUCACAAACCCCCUCCACUUCGUGUCUGACCUAAUUCUCGAACCACAUUUGGUCCUUGAGAGACGACCUAGGAGUCACUUCCUAACUAUACUGCAUUCCUAAUAUGCAAUCAAAUUUGUAUGGGCGGCGACAGCCCAUCAAUGCUCCUCAUGUUGUUUGGAGAGGAAUCUUUGAGAGUCAAAUCCUCUCGAGCUUUCUAGCAUCUUCCUUUUUCCUCCAGUAUUUCUUGUCUGGCGCGAUGCUGAUGCCAUUUCUGCAAUAAACACAAUUUUCCAAAAACCACAGAAAUCUAUUGUUAGGAGUUAAUGCAUCAACCAACAUUUUUUCGAACCCAACAAAAUUUACAACAGUGAGUGCACAGGGCCCCCCUUUCACAACGCAACAAACCGCCCAGCGGUACAAAGGCUUACUGCCCAGCGGUACAAAGGCUUACCGCCCGGUGGUCUGCACUAGGUUGAAUACCACCCGGCGGCAAAGGCAUACUGCCCGGCGGUUAGAAGGGUUUUAAAAAUAUUUUCCACAAAUCAAACCUAAUAUCCACUCAAAUGUUAAUUCCUACCAUCCAAAUCAAUUUCAAACAACUUAAUCGGUCCAAAAUAGUUCCCAAUUCAACAAUCCAUGCAAAGAAUCUCAAAACCCUAAGUUACCAAAUUCCUAAACAUGUUCAUCAAGAUUUUCAAAAUUGAGAACUAACAAAUGAAAUUGCACAACUUACUUAAGUGGAGAUAUGAAUGCUUGCAACAAAUCCUUCAAUAGAUGAUGGAAGACUCUAAAUGCACACUCCCACCAAGAAAANCAAAUCCUUCAAUAGAUGAUGGAAGACUCUAAAUGCACACUCCCACCAAGAAAAACCCCAAAUAUGAGCAAGAACAAAGCUUUUUGUGAGUGGGUGAUGAGAAAGUGUAUAGAAAUCUCUUUAAAACCCUCUUGGAAGUGCAAAUCUGGAGCAAGGGAGCAAGGAGACCGCCAGGCGAAACUCAAAGCUGCAAGGCAAAGUGAAGAAAGUUUGGAAAAACCCAGCUUUUAAAAGCUUCGGGUUUCAUGUUCUGCCGCCACCGCCAGGCGGCAAAGUGAUACCGCCCGGCGGUGGGUGGUAAUUUUCCCUACCAUGUUUCUUGCUUGCCUCCUUGUGAUUUCUCUUGGUGACUCCUGAUCUCUACCCUAAAUUUUCAUUCUCAAAAUUUUCCUCACUCAAAUGCAUAUGCACACACAAAAUGUACUAGACAGAAUUUUGAAAAACAGAAAAAAACAAACACAGAAAUUCAAAUUAUUAGACAAUAAUUGAGAAAGUAUCCACAAACACCCAUCAGUAGGUGUUAAACUUCUUUGUGCUUAGUAUUUUCUUCUUCUUCUUCUUUAUGCUAAACCUCUUCAAGAAGUUGAUCAUGCCAAGCACAUGUUUCCAUUCAUCAAUCAUAGGAGCCUUGAUCUCCAAUUUCUCGAAGAUCUCUUUAAAGUACUUGAACAUAUUUUCCUUCCUAUGAUUUUUCCUUUUAUGAGGAAGGGGUUUUUCACAUGACCUUUUUUUUUCCACUCUUCCUCUUUUUCCUAAUUUUCUCCUUCCUUAACCUUCUCUUUUUCUUUGUCUUUUCUUUCUUUAUUUUCAAAUUUUUUUUCUUUUUUUCUUUUCCUUCAACCAUGGCUUAUCCCUUCUCGUCCUUCUUCUCAUUCUCAUUCAACUUUUCUGUUUCCAUGUCCUCGAUCUUUUCUACAACAACAACCUUAUCAAUUGUGAAGAUAAUGGCAUGACAUUCUUCUGUAGGGUUAACUUCAGUAUUAACCCUAAUGAUGCCCAGAGACUUCAAAACAUGAGAGUGUUGUUCCUGCAAUAAAUGUUCUUGAGCUUCCCCUAAUGUUUCUUCACGUACAGGAGAUUGUUUUUGUUGUAAACGUUGUUGGGCUUCCCCCAACGUUUCUUUUGGUACAGAGAAUAGUUCCUGCCGUAAACGUUCUUUAGCUUCCCCUAAUGUUUCUUUUUGCGAAGAGGACUGAUGCCCUAAGUGGCUUCGAUAUAUAUUUGAAUAAGGGUCCCCCCAGUGGUUGAAAUCAUUUUGAUGAAAUUGAGUGCCCAUUUAAUCAAAUUCUUGAUCAGACUGCCUUCUACAAAACUUAAGCACAAAACCCUAGAUAACAUUUAUUAGAACAAAAAUAAACAUAAAAUCAAAUCAAGUCAAACUCAAUUAAUUCAAACUACUAGAAAAAUAAACCUCGAGUCCCCGUCAAAGGCGCCAAAAACUUGUUGACAAAUUGGCAAGUGUACCAAAUCGUACAAAUAAUAUAAAUGGUAAGACCAAGUAUCGUUUUCCCAAGAGACUCGUGUGGCUUUCUCAUUCGCGUGAAUUAAAAUAAUAAGACUUGAAAAAUAAAAAUUAAUAAAUUGGAUUUGAGAACAAAAAUAUUAACAUGCAAAAAUAAAUAUUGAUUCAAUUGACAAACGAAAACAAUGGUUGAAUGGAUGUUGUUGGGGGUUUACAAUUUCAUCUAUUCCGCUCUCUCUUACAUACUACCCUCGAAUAUUAGUUUGAUUGAUUCAAUUGUUAUGCGACUUUCUUAGCCUCCCUUAACCCGAUCCCUCGGCAAAAAAGGCCUAAUAUUAACUACUGGCUUGCUAUCCCUAGCCUCCCCUAGUAAUUAAUACUGCAUUAUAAACAAAAGUUAGCGCAAUUGAUCGUCCUACCCCUAUCCCUAGGAGGUAUUGCAAAAUCAAGAGAUUACUCACCAGUUCAUGUCAUUACUGUACGCCCCC
rnacentral:lncRNA from 1 species